rnacentral:misc_RNA from 1 species
GAUGAAGAACGUAGCGAAAUGCGAUAAGUAAUGUGAAUUGCAGAAUUCAGUGAAUCAUCGAAUCUUUGAACGCACAUUGCACCCGCCAGUAUCCUGGCGGGCAUGCCUGUUCGAGCGUCAUUACAACCCUCAGGCCCCCGGGCCUGGCGUUGGGGAUCGGCGGAAGCCCCCUGCGGGCACAACGCCGUCCCCCAAAUACAGUGGCGGUCCCGCCGCAGCUUCCAUUGCGUAGUAGCUAACACCUCGCAACUGGAGAGCGGCGCGGCCACGCCGUAAAACACCCAACUUCUGAAUGUUGACCUCGAAUCAGGUAGGAAUACCCGCUGAACUUAAGCAUAUCAAUAAGCGGAGGA